rnacentral:rRNA from 1 species
GGACUACCGGGGUAUCUAAUCCUGUUUGCUCCCCACGCUUUCGCGCCUCAGUGUCAAUGUCGGUCCAGUGAGCCGCCUUCGCCACCGGUGUUCUUCCCAAUCUCUACGAAUUUCACCUCUACACUGGGAAUUCCACUCACCUCUACCGAAUUCUAGCGCCACAGUCUUGAAUGCAGUUCCAGGGUUGAGCCCUGGGAUUUCACAUCCAACUUGUGUCGCCACCUACGCGCCCUUUACGCCCAGUAAUUCCGAACAACGCUAGCUCCCUUCGUAUUACCGCGGCUGCUGGCAC